AGAUGCUUAUAUAAAGAAUUUAUAGGUUACCGCUACAACAGAUUAAAACACACUUAUUGUAAACAAAAAAAUUAAGUUGUCAACGUAUAUAAGUUAAAUCUCCAUAAAAAUAAAUGCUUGGCUGAGAAUAGAGGGACUCACGUGAGCUUAUUAUACAGAGUGUGUAAAUUGUAAGUUGUCUCAUCAUUCUUUGAGGAGGAGUUGUUUAUAUAGCAAAAGAACACAAAAAUAAAAGGAAGAAAAAUAUUUGAUAAUUCAAUCAAGGAGAUUAUUCAAUGAGGUAAAUCACUUAACUCCACCAAUCAUGCUAUGGUUGCCACAAAUAAACAAAUAAGAAUCUAUCUAAAUCUUAAUAUUGAAAUCUUCCAUAAACGAAAUAAGGAAAAAAAAUU
rnacentral:lncRNA from 1 species